UUUUGCGUAGAAGAAGAAGAAGGAGAAGAUCCGCCAUUGUUAGCUCUGUUUUGAGAUUUACAGUUUUUGAACAUUUGUGGAGCAGAGGUGCACCAUGGCUUGCCACAAUGUCACAAUGGGUUCUUGGAGAGCCGCUGCUGUUGACUUGCUGCAUGUCUCCUCUCUGCGGCAAAACUCACAAAUACUCCACUCACCAAGUUCCAGAGGGAGAGGAUCACCAGCCACCACCGGCCGUACUAAAGGAAGUGGCUCUAUGUAGGGAUGGAACAUAGCAACUACACCAGCUGGGACACACCUAGCCAACU